rnacentral:rRNA from 1 species
CCCUUAGAUGUUCUGGGCCGCACGCGCGCUACACUGAUGCAUUCAACGAGUCUAAAACCUGCUCUGAUAGGGGUGGGUAAUCUUUUGAAUGUGCAUCGUGAUUGGGAUAGAUGAUUGAAAUUUUUCAUCUUCAACGAGGAAUGCCUAGUAAACGCAAGUCAUCAGCUUGCAUUGAUUACGUCCCUGCCCUUUGUACACACCGCCCGUCGCUCCUACCGAUUGAAUGAUCCGAUGAAUAUCAUGGAUUGAGGAUGCAAGUAGGUUCACCUAUCUUCAUCUUCGAGAAGUGAAGUAAAUCUUAUCAUUUAGGGGAAGGAGAAGUCGUAACA